AUGCUUACCUGAGAGAGGCAAUACCAUGAUCACAAAGGUGGUUUUCCCAGAGCAAGGCUCAUCCAUCUCACUUGAGGUGAGCUGACCUCUGAGGUACCCUCAGCUGGAGGAAACCUUGUUGCAUGAUUUGUGGCAGCAGAGACUCUGCUUUCCUUUUCCCUGU
rfam:Otolemur garnettii contig171320, whole genome shotgun sequence.